UACGUAGGGUGCGAGCGUUAAUCGGAAUUACUGGGCGUAAAGCGUGCGCAGGCGGUUAUGCAAGACAGAUGUGAAAUCCCCGGGCUCAACCUGGGAACUGCAUUUGUGACUGCAUAGCUGGAGUGCGGCAGAGGGGGAUGGAAUUCCGCGUGUAGCAGUGAAAUGCGUAGAUAUGCGGAGGAACACCGAUGGCGAAGGCAAUCCCCUGGGCCUGCACUGACGCUCAUGCACGAAAGCGUGGGGAGCGAAUGGG
rnacentral:rRNA from 1 species